rnacentral:rRNA from 1 species
UACGGGGGGGGCAAGCGUUGUUCGGAAUUACUGGGCGUAAAGGGCGCGUAGGCGGUCAGACCAAGUCGAGUGUGAAAUUCCAGGGCUUAACUCUGGCACGCUCGCUCGAUACUGGUCGGCUAGAGUGUGGAAGAGGAUGCUGGAAUUCCCGGUGUAGCGGUGAAAUGCGUAGAUAUCGAGAGGAACACCUGCGGCGAAGGCGGGUUGCUGGGCUGACACUGACGCUGAAGCGCGAAAGCUAGGGGAGCGAACGGG